UGUCUAGUUUGACCCCCUCUUGGCUUUACUUUUGUUAUCUGUGAAGAUAGCACCAUCUAACUCCACUGACCUCUUUUUCUUUUGUAUGCUUGUUGUCAAGGCUUCUAUGUGCAUUUGUUUUGUUCUGACUCUUGUUCUUUGUGAGUCUGAGUGCUUUUCUUUGUCAUUGUUUCUUCAUGUAUUGCACUUGGGUGCUGGGCUUCUGACGCUUCAUUUCCGCUUUGCAUUUCAGUUUUCUUGUAGAACAAAUGCAUAAAAAAUCAGGGAUAAACCUCGGUAGCCUGAAGAAAGGAUGUCAAACAAAAGACAUGGCUUACAAUGCAUUAAUUCAAGGACAUUUAUCAUUAAAUAUUUUCAACCAUGUCUCCCUGAAUUACCAGGGAGGACAUUGAACCCUAGAGUCUGGAUGACUUGAAUGACAUCCCUAGUUAUUAAGUGGGUUAAACUGCUUCUCUCUACUGCUCACCAUUCCUAUCACCAUUAAGAGGAUAUCAUUACACACAUGGAAACUGCCUGACAGGUAAGUAACACUUGGGCCCCUGAAUGCUGCCUAGACUCUGGGCUUCACAUUUGUUUUUUUAUGCUGUCUGGGACACUGACCCUGGAAGCUGCUCUGACACUUCUAUUCUUAUUUCAGGAAGUGAGAUUAACAGCAGAACACUAUUAUAAUCAUGUAGGUGUUAUGAUGAUAAGGCUAUUGAAUAUGGUACUAUGGAUAGAAACGAGCGGAGGAUUUAAAAGGCUUUUCCAUAAAAAGGAAUUGACAAACCCUGGUACUCUUCAGUGCAGGGAGAGGAUGACUUAAAUCUUUCGAGUAUAGUUUCCUUAGAAAAAAAUAACUGGUGACAUUAAGGAAGUCAAAGAGAGAGCCAGUUGGAAGAGGGAAAUAAUGUUUUUUGUUUGUUUUUAACAUGGUCUAUUAAAGUUGCAUUGAAGUAUCUAAGUCAGCAUUUCUAGGAGGUAGUUGGGAUUGUAGCUUAAGGUUGGAGCUGUAGAAAAAGUAUUUGAGAAGUGGCUACGUGGCACCUAUGUGGAUGUCAUGAGAGUUCAUCAAGGAGGGAGAGAGAGAGAAAAACAGAAGUCUGGAAUCUGACCCUUGGGAGGUGUACACAUUUGCAGGGAGAGGAGAGGAAUUGGAGAAGGUGGCAAAAGGGCUGAGUGGGAAAUGGGAGGAGACCCACAUGACUUCUCCUUGCCCUCUGAAAGAGGAUGACAAACUAAAAGUGUAAGUAUAAAAACAUACCUUUUCUCCCUGUUUUUUCCUAUCUUGUCUAUAAGACAUAUUCUUACGGGUGUUGUUUCUCUUCAGAAUGUAACUCAGUGUGAUGAAGUAAUGAUGAGGAAGAAAAUUUGUUUGACUGAGAAGAUUUUUUAUGAGUUUAUCACAUGCUACCAUAUCCACGUAUUGUGGCAGCCAUGGAAGUGUGCCACUCCGAUCUCCUUCAAGAGAAACUGCUGCGAGAAGCAGAUUGACUGAGGGAGUCCCAGCUGCUGCUGCCUCUGGAUCCACCACUGUAUUGAAAGCAGUCUUCCCCGGGUUGUACCAUCAGUGACAAGUAUAGUGUGGCUACUAUUGAAGACCAUUCCUGUUCAACACUGUCUACUAGGCAACUUUUGCUUGGGGACAGCCCAUUGGCCUGGUGGAGAUUUUCUCAGAACUGCCCUGUUGUCUGUGGCUCUUUCCGCCCUGUCCCUCCAGCCGUAUUCCUUUCAUAUGCAUGGAACCUGCUCUUGCUGAUUACUCCUCUAUCCUUCACAGGGUGUUUCUCGCAAUAUAUUUCUUGGUAGCUGCUUCUCAGGACCCAAAGUGAUGCAACAUAUCAAACUAAGUUUAAUAGAUGACCUGGAUAGCUCUGAUAACCCUGAUCCCUCAGAAGCAGGAGCCAAACCCCCUAAAAAGUUUAUUUGACAUUAAUUUGUUUCCUCCCAAGAUUUUAGGACUUAAUUAUAUUCUAUUUAAAGUAAGAUCUGUGUGAAAGAACCUAGACUAUACCAGAUCUCAUACAUGGUCAUGACUCUGCUAUAUUUAGCUUAAUGGGGUCAUCAGUUUCAUCUCAUAAACCAUGCCCAUUUGGAAAAAAUAGCUGACUUGCAUAUUUUGAAUUUGCUUCUGUCCUUUGAAGAAUUUAUUUUUUAAACUGAAUUUAUAGUAACAGUUCUGAAGAACCAUUGGCUUUUCCAAAUGAUUAAUAAAUGCAAAAUUUUAUAUUAUUUAGAGAUUUUUUAAAAGAUUAACAAAAAAGUAGGUCACUAAAGUCUUAAAAUUAGGAAAAAUAUAGGGGCAUUUCACGUGGCAGAUUAACAAACCAAAUUACUCAAAAUGAAUAUGUUCUUAGGGAAUAAUAAGCUUCUGAGAAUGGGAUAGGCAAUUUAAGUCAUUUUAUCAGAUAGUUCCUCGAAUGACUGGAUGAAUGAAUUGAUUAUGCAAAAUUGAAAGAAAAGCUUUGUAAUCAACAAAUAGUUUGGCACAAAGAUAAAGGUUUCCAAAUAAAUUGCCAUGUCAGAAUAUUAAAUAACAAUGUAACUAUAUAAGUGAGUUAAUGCAACUUCUCAAUAUAUAUCAUGUGUUCUAUUUGAAAGAGCUAAUUAGUUGGCAUUUAAGAAAUCUAGCUUUAACUCCCAGCUGGCUAGGUAACAUUGGACUUUUUUUAACCGUUCUGUUCCCCAGAUUUCUCAAUUGAUGUGUGAGUCUCUCAACAUUUUUAAAUCUAUAAUUUUAUUCAGUUUAUUUCCAGGAGAUUAUGCACUAAGAAAAACAAUCACCAUUUUUUGUAAAAGUUUGAUGGACAUAUAUUCAUCAAAUAGAUACAAAAACAAUAUUGCAAUGUCAGCAACUUGUAUAUACCUAUUCAUAUGUUUACUUCAAAUCCAUUUCUCCUCUACCUCACUCACAUUAUGGAAUUCCUUUAAAGACGGCGGUCCUGUCUUACUCAUUUUAUUUCCUACAAUGGUAUAGUAGGUGUUAAGUAAACAUUGUGGGAUUAGAUUGAAUAUUUUGUAUCAGUAGAAGGAUUGUGGGGUUUCAUAUCAUGGUUGCUUGUGAAAAUACUUUUAUAGCAGAUGUUAAAUAAAUAUUUGGGGAAUAGGAUUGAGUAUUCUGUAUCAAAGAAGUGUGAGAGGUUUCAAGUCAUGCUCGAAAACACUUAUUACAUGUAAGAUUUCUGUGGUACUGGAGGUAUAAGAACUCAGUCCUAUAAAAAAAAAUCUCAAGCUGUGUUCACUCUUUAAAGCAGUCAUGAAACAUGAAACAUUCAUUUGCACAUAUGUUUCAUUAACAUAAAAAACAAUAGCAUAUAUAAGUGCCCAAGAGUUAUUUAAAUGGCAUUCUUAUCUUGUGAAGAAAGGAGGAAAAUAACAAUAAUAUUUAAUCUUGUCUAUUACGUAUCUGACAUUAAGUAUAAGAGCCUUAUAAUAUUAUUUCAUUUACUUCUCACAAUGGUUCUAUGUGUCAUUCCCUCCAAUUUCAGUUGAAGAAAUUCAGAGGGGUUAAUAAAUUGCCUUAAAUUAUCCUGGUAUUAAGAGGCAGAGCCAAGAUUCAAACUCAGUGAGUCUGUCUCUAAAGCUCAAAGAUUUUCCAUCAAAACAAAGACUCAUAUUCCCAUAGUAGUUUACGAAUCGUUGGGUAAAUCCUCAAAUGUGGUUUCAUUCAUUUACCGUUUAGUGAGAGGCUCUGUCCUUGGUGCUGGAUUGCAAAGGUUAGGAAAGCCAAGGUCCUUCUUCUCAUGGAGCUUACAGUCUAAUGGCGGAAAAAAAACAAUAAAAAACAAACAACAGUCAAUAAAUAAAUGAGAUUAUUUCAGCUCUUUCCUUUUAUUUAAAACAAAACAAAACAAAAACCCCUCAGUGAUAUCUGGGUUAUUCCUCUGACUCCCAAUAACUAAAAAUAGAAAACGUUUCCAUUAACUUAGUGAAGAGGAUACCCUAAAUGUCUAUAAGAAACUUAAUGAAGAGGAUACACUAAAAGUCUACAGAAAACCUAAUGGUAAAAUAUUGAAAACAUUUCCUUUGAAUAUUAGAAAAAGACAAAUGUAAAAGAAGACCUGAAUAAAUAAAAAUGCAUAUUAUAUUUUUAAUUAGGAAAGAUAUAUUACAAAGAUGCCAGUCGGCCAAAAUUUAAUCCAUAAAUUUAAUGACACUCUAUGAAAAUCCCAAUGGGAUCUUAUGGCAGUUGGCUUAUGAAAAGGAAAGCAUAUAGAAUAACCAAUUAAUUUUUGGGAAAAAAAAGGAAGAAAAAUAUUUGACAGGCAUUGCCAUAUCAGAUAUAAAAUAAACUACAAACUCUACUACUUAAAAGAAUGUGAUAUUUAUGGAGAAACACAUCACUGAAACAGAAGAAAGACACAAGAAAAUAGUGCCAUAUAGGUGUAACAAAUUCAUUUGCAAUAAGGAUGGUGUCUCCAAUCCAUGCAAAAUGAUGUACUGCUUAAACAAACAGUAUUGGGACAUUGAAAAUGAAGUAGGAGGGAAAUAGAUUAGUUGUAGAUUGCAUCCCAUGUACACACACACACAUGCAUACUUAACACAAACUUCAGAUUGUUUUAAGAGCUAAAUAAGCAAAUAAACUUAUAAAGUUUAUAGAAGGAAACAUGGGAAAGUAAUUGAAAAAUCUUGAUUUUUUAUAAUCUUGAUCUGAAAUGUGUGUGUGUGUAUAUGUGUAUGUGUAUGUAAGAUGAAAGCUAUAUCUGAGCCCAACAGUUAUAAUCAAAGACUGACUGAUUUGACUAUGGAGAAAUUUAAAUCUUUCACAGCAUAAAAAAUAAAAUCACCAUCAGCAAAAUCAGAAGACUAAGGGCUGACAAGUAUGAUAUAUUUACACUCUCUAUAUGAGACAAAUUUAUGUUUUUAAAAAAAAUCUGUAUACAAACUAACUUUUAAAAUGAUAAGCCAUUUGGAGAAAAAAAGCAAAGGUGAUGAAGAAAUGAUUCACAGAAAUAAAAAAAGAUAUGAAAAUAUACUCAC